GCUUGGAAACAGUCAAGCUCGGCUCGCCAAUCGGCAGGGAGGCUGCGGCUCCGCUGUGAGUUUCACGCCUGUCUUCAUUAACAGAUUACAGACUGUCGCUGACAAGCCAGGACGGAGGGCGGCCACCGGGACACUUCCCCCCAGGCAGGACACAGGAGGGGGGAGACCCGGCUUCAGCGCGCCACCAAGAAGCACUGGAACGGGGGUCCGGUCAGAGGAUCAAUCCCACCCGCUCCUCGCUUAGGAUCUCCCUUCGUUAGCUGUGUCAUUGACAAGUAACCUAAGGGCUACUUCUUGAACCCCCGUUCAAGGGAGCAGGGGGAUAUUUUGACUGAAUAGCUGAAUAUCUUACUAUUCAAGCAGAAGACCGAAUGGGAUAGAGUGAAGAAACUAUUGAGAAAAUUGACAGAAAAUUUUCAAAAUUCAUUAACAACGUCGAAAGUAGCAUACUUCAAGAGAAAAUAUGCUGAAGAAGAAGAUUUACAUAAAGUUUACCAUGGGUACUUUCCAAAAAACUUGAUCUUUCCUGAAGAUCGAACAUGUAUUCUGAGACUUUCACUAGAAAAAUUAAGGAUUCUUGAAGAUCCUGAAAUCUAUCUUCGAAGGGCUGUGUUAAUAAACAAUUUAUUGAGGAAAAUCCAUAUUGAAACAGAGAAGGAAGUCUAUGAUUACACUGAACAAUUUAAUAAGGCCUCAACACACCUAUAUAACGAUGCACAUAAAAGAGUGAAAUAUAUGAUGAAAGAUUAUAGUGGAUGUUCCCAGUCUUUGUAUUAUGAAGGGAUUGGUUCAUAUUCCUUUGUGCCUUUUUCUUCAAGCAAUGUCAUUUAUGGACUUGGUUUCCCAAAUGGUCAUUUGGGGAAAAGUACUUCCUAACAUGGAGUUCCAUACAGGAUGAGCUGCUACAUUAAUACCUCUCCUCAUUCUGUCUGGUGCAUAUGCCAGUGCUGUGUAGGCCGCACUCAUCGACGAGUCUGCAUUCAGGUCCUCGUGUAUAUUCCCUGGUUAGAAAUUUGGCUUCUUCAUAAAUCGAUAAAGAAGAGCACUUAGAUUAAAGUUUGUUUUUGACCAUAUGUAUUUGGUUGGAAUAUUGUGUACUUAAUGUGUAGUGUUUUUCUUGUUGAGAAUGGACCAGAUGGUUAAAUAUUGACCAUGUAUGUUUUUUAAACAAAUACAGUAUAAAAUAGUGAUUUAUUGAUGUUUCUUUGUAAUUGCAUUUUGAUACUUGUUUUUGUCACUCUUUCCACUCACCUCUUUGUUUAGAUAGUGAGAUGGACCCUUCACUGCCACUUUCAUUGUUCCUUCUGGAGGCUGGGCCCUCCAAACUUUCUCGUGUCUGUUCUAAUGCACAGUGAAGUGAGCAGGAACAGUCACCUCAUCAGAGGAAGGGUGAGUAUGCUUGAGUGGCCAUUGAGGCUAACAUUGUGAAUGUUACAGGUUCUGCUACAGGUUCUAGGCCCAAAGUUAUUGCAGCCUUUGGUCCAUCAUAAAAGAAUUAUUCUAUAGUUAUUGUGGUUCAAUUAAUUCUUCACUAAGCAAUCUUACAGAAUAUGAUGUGUGAUUGGUUGGGAAAAUAAGCCUUUGCUGAGAUCCUGCAAUGCAGAACAAGCUAGUUCACAUAAUCACCAAACAAUGCACAAUACAUUCUUAUGUCUGGAUAAAACUUACAAUACAGGAUUAUACAAAGUGAAAACGGGUUUACAUUUUGAAUGGUCUGACUUAGAUAGUGAAACAAGAUCUAAGGCUGUGGGGGAGUAAACUGAAGGAAAAGAAAGAAUCUAUUGUGAAGGGUUUUAGUAAGGUGGAGCCAGUGGUAAUGUAUAUCAUGCAAUUCCAUUCCUCUUAUAGACAGGAAUACAACCGUGGAUAAGACUACUGGGUUGCAAGGUACACAUUCAGUGACAUACUUUCAAGCUUUACCAUUAUACAAGUUUCUUUGUCAUUUUAACUUUUCUGAAUUUUUUUUGACUUCGUUGUUGAAUUGUACUUUUCAACAGAAACUUAAACUUGUCUGGGUUCAGCUGGAGUACAGUACUGUGCCUGUUAUAUUAAAGUGAUGCUGCUGUAGAAAAAUGGAGAAUCGUCAAACUAUAUUUACACCAUACUCAAUUCAGAUUGCGGUCUGAAUAAACUACACAUCUGCAUUACAAGUAGUAUUCAAUGGGAUAGAACAAACUUACACAGACAAACGUUAAAGUGUGCAUUUCAAUACAAUAGAAGCUUAAACAUUCAUAUCAGCUAUAGUAUGACACUGUAGCCAUACCCAAAUAUCAGCUGUAACUUUACAGUAGCUUGCUUGACUAAUACAUUAGACUACAUAAGAUAUUGUACUCCAGCUCAUACUUGUCUUAGAAUGUAUAAACAACACAUUUUAUUACAUUGUAAAACCGCGAACACGAGGAAAAAUUGUAUAAAUGUUUUAAGUAUCACCAGAAGAGACUUUGCAGUAGUGAAUUUUAAAAUGCAAACAACAUUUUGUUAGUAAUUAUGCUCAUGCAUGUUUGUAUAACUUCAACUGCCUGUUUUUAUAUUUGAUGAGUUAUUCCCAAAGUCACCUACCAAAAACCCACAGCUUUGGGACAAGCUCUCUCUAAUCUCACUGAAACACAGACAAAUCUGAAGAAUUUUGAAAAGGAUAGGUACCAAGAGGAUAUCUCCUCUGGCUAGAAUGUCUAGAACCAGAUGCACAGUCUCAGAAUGAAGGGUUAAUCAUUUAACAUUAAGGUGAGGAGUAACUUUGUUGUUCAAAUGCUGCUAAUCAAUGGGCUGAGCAGUAGAUGCUCACACUCUCAGUAUAUUCAAAGACAAAAUGGAUUGAUGUUUAGUGCCCAGAAGAAUGAAUGAAUAUGGUAUUGGGAAAAGGGGGAUUGGGCACAGCAGGUUCAAAGCACUGGUUAACCUUGCAUGUGUUUUGUAGAUUCUAACACAUCAGCAGCUAUAAUUGGGGCAAACCUGGUCAAUUAUAGAGUCAAAGAAUAUUACCGCACAGAAACAUUCCUUUUGGCCCAUCUAGUCCAUGCCAUACUAUUAUUCUGCCUCGCCCUAUCGACCUGCACCAGGACCAUAGCCCUCCACCCCUCCUAUCCAUGUACCCAUCCAAAUUUCUCUUAAAUGUUGAAAUUGUACAUGUCUGAAAAUCGGCACUUCUGAAAUUAGCAUUCAGUAUUCUACACAGCCCAACCUGGAAAGGACAACAAAAUAAUGGGAAGUCAAUUUCAUAAAGUAUCUUUGAUGCUCAUAUUUUCUUGCAACAUAGAAAGAAUAUGGCAGCUUGAAUGGAUGCUAGCCCACAGAACAACCCAACCCAGUCCAUUUCCCCGUAACCAAUUCUCACUCAAUGCCCAUCAACUCCCCGUCGAUUUUCCUAGCAUUCAAUAACACAAGGUGUAAAUAGCUGUAGCGAAUGCACCGAGCAGCUGGCAUAUCUUUAGGAUUCAAAGGGAAA